CAGCAGCCGCGGUAAUACCGGCGGCCCGAGUGGCGGCCACUAUUAUUGGUCUUAAAGCGUCCGUAGCCGGGUUGGUUAGUCUCCCGGGAAAUCUGGCCGCUUAACGGUCAGAAUUCCGGGAGAUACUGCCAGCCUAGGGACCGGGAGAGGCCGAGGGUAUUCCCGGAGUAGGGGUGAAAUCCUAUAAUCCCGGGAGGACCACCUGUGGCGAAGGCGCUCGGCUGGAACGGGUCCGACGGUGAGGGACGAAGGCCAGGGGAGCAAACCGGACUAGAUACCCGGGUAGUCCUGGCUGUAAACGAUGCGGACUUUGUGUCGGACAAGCUAUGAGCUUGUCCGGUGCCGGAGGGAAACCGUUAAGUCCGCCGCCUGGGGAGUACGGCCGCAAGGCUGAAACUUAAAGGAAUUGGCGGG
rnacentral:rRNA from 1 species